rnacentral:rRNA from 1 species
AUUGAACGCUGGCGGCAGGACUAACACAUGCAAGUAGAACGAGUGGCGGACGGGUGAGUAAUGUAUGGGAAACUGCCUGAGGGAGGGGGAUAACUACUGGAAACGGUAGCUAAUACCGCAUACCAUCAGAUGUGCCCAGAUGGGAUUAGCUAGUUGGUAGGGUAACGGCUAACCAAGGAGAAGAUCCCUAGCUGGUCUGAGAGGAUGAUAAGGAACACUGGAACUGAGACACGGUCCAGACUCCUACGGGAGGCAGCAGUGGGGAAUAUUGGACAAUGGGCGAAAGCCUGAUCCAGCCAUGCCGCGUGUGUGAAGAAGGUCGUCGGAUUGUAAAGCACUUUAAGUUGGGAGGCGUUACCAACAGAAUAAGCACCGGCUAACUUCGUGCCAGCAGCCGCGGUAAUAC